rnacentral:rRNA from 1 species
UGGCUCAGGACGAACGCUGGCGGCGUGCUUAACACAUGCAAGUUGAACGGUCCGGCAUGGAAGCUUGCUGAAGUGUCGGGUAGUAGCGGACGGGUGAGUAAUGCAUGAGAAGCUGCCAUUGGGAGGGGGACAACAGUUGGAAACGGCUGCUAAUACCCCAUAUGCCGGAAGGUGAAACGGAGUAAUCCGCCCGAUGAGGUGCUCAUGUCCUAUCAGCUUGUUGGUGAGGUAACGGCUCACCAAGGCGACGACGGGUAGCCGGCCUGAGAGGGUGACCGGCCACACUGGAACUGAGAUACGGUCCAGACUCCUACGGGAGGCAGCAGUGGGGAAUAUUGGGCAAAUGGGGGCAACCCUGACCCAGCGACGCCGCGUGAGGGAAGACGGCCUUCGGGUUGUAAACCUCUUUUGUACGGGAAGAAGGACGUGACGGUACCGUGCGAAUAAGUCCCGGCUAACUACGUGCCAGCCGCCGC